CUCUAGAGAUAGAGUUUGAUCCUGGCUCAGGGUUAACGCUAGCGGCGUGCCUAAAACAUGUAAGUCGAAUGCGCCUUCGGGCGCAUGGCGAACGGCUGAGUAAUACGUAGGUAUCAACCUUUAACUCGAGGAUAACUUGGGGAAACCCUUGAUAAUACUCGAUGUGCAGGAAACUGCAAAGAUUUAUCGGUUAGAGACGAGCCUACGGCCUAUCAGGUAGUUGGUGGGGUAAUUGCCUACCAAGCCUAUGACGGGUAGCUGGUCUGAGAGGAUGGACAGCCAGAAGGGCACUGAGACACGGGCCCUACUCCUACGGGAGGCAGCAGUGAGGAAUAUUGCACAAUGGGCGAAAGCCUGAUGCAGCGACGCCGCGUGAAGGAUGAAGGCCUUCGGGUUGUAAACUUCUGUGAAUAGCACCGGCUAACUACGUGCCAGCAGCAGCGGUCAUACGUAGGGUGCAAGCGUUACCCGGAUUUAUUGGGCGUAAAGCGUCUGUCGGCGGUAAUUUAAGUCGAUAGUUAAAUCCCCCGGCUCAACCGGGGACAUGCUAUUGAUACUAUCUUACUAGAGGUGGUCAGGGGGCAGCAGAACUUAUGGUGUAGCGGUGAAAUGCGUUGAUAUCAUAAGGAAUACCGAGGGGGAAGCCAGCUGUCUGGGACUAACCUGACGCUUAGAGACGAAAGCGUAGGGAGCGACACGGAUUAGAUACCCGUUUAGUCUACGCUGUAAACAAUGCCUGCUAGAUGCUCGUAACUAUGAGUGUCGAAGCUAACGCGUUAAGCAGGCCGCCUGGGGAGUACGAUCGCAAGGUUAAAACUCAAAGGAAUUGGCGGGGACCCGCACAAGCGGUGGAGCAUGCUCUUUAAUUGGCUGCUAACCCAAGAACCUUACCCAGGCUUGACAUGCAAGUAGUAGUGAACCGAAAGGGGAACGAUCUUGCUUUGCUUGAAGCUUGCACAGGUGUUGCAUGGCUGUCGAAAGCUCGUACCGUGAGGCGUACCCUUAAGUGGGUUAACGAGCGCAACCCUUACCGUUAGUUGUAUCACUCUAGCGGAACUGCCUCGGCAACGAGGAGGAAGGUGGGGAUGACGUCAAGUCAGUAUUGCCUUUAUGCCUGGGGCUAGAAGCAUGCUACAAUGGCACAUACAAGGAGAAGCGACACGGUAACGUGAAGCAAGUCUCUUAAAGUGUGUCUCAGUUCGGAUUGAGGGCUGCAAUUCGCCCUCAUGAAGUCGGAAUCGCUAGUAAUCGUAGGUCAGCUAUACUACGGUGAAUACGUUCUCGGGUCUUGCACACACUGCCCGUCACGCCAGCAAAGCUGAGGCCACCCGAAAUCUCAUGUAAUUGGGCUCAAGGUGGAACCAGUGAUGAGGGUGAAGUCGUAACAAGGUAACCA
rnacentral:rRNA from 1 species